rnacentral:rRNA from 1 species
UACGUAGGGGGCAAGCGUUGUCCGGAAUCAUUGGGCGUAAAGCGCGUGUAGGCGGCCAGAAAAGUCCGCUGUGAAAACUCGAGGCUCAACUUCGAGCUGUCGGUGGAAACUUUCUGGCUAGAGUCCGGAAGAGGAGAAUGGAAUUCCUGGUGUAGCGGUGAAAUGCGCAGAUAUCAGGAGGAACACCGGUGGCGAAGGCAGGUCUCUGGGCAUUAACUGACGCUGAGGAGCGAAAGCAUGGGGAGCGAACAGG